GUAAGGAAGGCUCAGCUUGGAGGAUUCAUGAAUCCAUUUGUUCAUCAAUUAGGGAGGCUUGGAAGCAGACGCUCUAUUGGCAAGACUUUAAAGACCACCUGACCAACCUUCCUUAGACCCUGUCUGUCCCUGUCACCUCUGAGCCUUGACUGUUGACAAGACCAAAAGACUAGCUUGUAGAGCACGGUCCUGAGUAAUGUUGGCACCAGAGCAAAGAAGGGUAAUCAUCUCUAGUGUGACCAAGCAAUUGGGAUUCUUUCAGUCACUACCCUGUCUGGACAGAUGCAAAGUCUCUUCUUGAGGCUUGUUGUAUAAAGCAUAAGGUAAGUAGACACUACCUCGAGCAAAUACUGCAGGAUUUCUUUUGGCCUAGCAGAAACCGCCUGUCCCAAAUAACCCAUAGCAAGGAAAGAGGCAGAUGUUUGGCAUAGGGGCCAUUGAACUUCCUGGGGAAAAUAGCCACACUCUAGAAAACUUAUAGGCACAACCCUAUAUUAAUAUCUAUUAAUGCAACAUUAAUAGAACCCGCC
rnacentral:lncRNA from 1 species